GUUGUCACGGUGUGAAAGGAAGAGGCUGACCGUGCUUCCUGCAGCAGCCCAACAAAGGAAAUGAGGUCACAGCCUCAGCCUGGUUACAGAUGGAAGCUUCUAGAUCUGCCAAAGCUUCUCUCCAGCACAGAGCCAACCACUGAACAAGGAUAGAGAGAGAAGACAAGGAACUAGAUUUGUACGUUUUUAAGAAACCCCCCAGGGUCGGCCUCUCUACUCAAGAGUGCACACAGGCACUUUAACCUACUAUCUACACCGCAUACGUGCACAGUCUCAGUGAGGUGAAGACAACAGACGUGAGAGAACGACACUUCAUGGGCAGCCACAUCCUGAGGAAGAGAAGGCAACAUGCUCAGCGCAGGCCAUGAGAAUGUCAGCCACUGGAAAGAGCUGGUCUCACACACACACACACACACACACACACACACACACACACACACACACACACACACACACACACACACACAAACCAGACACAUCAUGAGAGCAAAGGAAAGAGGUGAGGUGCAGAAGAAAGGGAGUGAUAAAAUGAAAAGGUAGCAAACAGAGAGGCAUGCUUCAAAGACCAGAGCGGAAGGGUGCAGAUCGCUGCAGGGCAGACACAUUAUAGCCACCGUGACCAACCUCUCUGUCUGUGUGUGUGUGUGUGUGUGUGUGUGUGUGUGUGUGUGUGUGUGUGUGUUGUGAAAGAGGUAAAAUAACAUACAGUGACAAUGAUACAUUAUACUACACCAAUAUAGAAUUGUUCAAACCAUUGGUACAUUUGCUCAAAGGCUCAAUUAGCCUGCUUGCUCUCAUUAUGACUGAAGCCAUUUGUCUGAUAAGGGGGUGGAAACUUGAGCAAACAAUGUUCCCUUCACAAUCGGGUCAUACAGCACCACUGAAAAACUAUAUGCUAUGAAAUACAGCUAUAGCAUCAGGUGUAUCGGUGAUCGCUCUGGGAAUAGUGAACAUUGUGUUAACAACUGGUUAUUGUAUUAACAGUCCACCUGAAGGCCUAGAAAGAAACAAAAAUGAGAUAAAAAUGGUUUUAGCGAGUAUUGAGUGUAGUAAUGUUGUCUAAACUUAAAGGGAUAGUUCACCCAAAAAUGAAAAUUUUGUCAUCAUUUACUCAUCCUCCAGUUGAUUCAAACCUGUAUAAAUUUCAUUGUUCUGAUGAACACAAAAGAAGAUAUUCUGAACAAUGUUAGUAACUUGAGAGGGAGUAAAUGAUGACAGAAUUUUCAUUUUUGGGUGGACUAUCCCUUUAAGCAGGCUUGUUUUGAAUUACAGCACAUUGAAAUGUUACAGAGUAUUGGCAAGAUUUUGUGUUGUUGACUGGAAUAUUACAUAAACCAUUAAAAUGACAUAAAGUUACUGUCAUCAUAACAGCAUAUUUUAAUCAGGUUGUUAAAUACAAUAGAAAUUAAGUAUUGCGUGAAUAAUAUUGUUAGCUCCUUUAGGAUAAUUAUCAUGUGUUUAUCAUAUGUUAAUGUAUCCUGCUGUACAAGACAAUGCUACAAUAUUGUAGUAAUAUUUUAUUUUAUUAUAUUUGAAAAUCAGAGGUAAUUAUAUAGUUUUUUUUUUUAAAUGUGAAUGUUUUAUAAAAUAAUAAUAAUAAUAUCUUCGUAAAUAUGUAUGAAAAUCAGGAAUAAUUAUUUUAGUGAUUUUUCAAAAUAAUUAUAAUAUAUAACAAUUAUACUAAAAUAAUAAUUAUUAAUACAAUACAACAAAAAUUUAAAUAUAGUAUAGCUAAAAAAAGCAUGCAUAAAUAUGGAUACAAGAUGACUACAAAACACUAAAAUUUUUACAAUGUUUUUAAAGUGUUUGUAAUGAUCUUGUUCCUUUUAUCUGCUUUCAGCAUUGUAUAGAGCCAUGAGUAAUAUCUCUAAAUAUAUUUGCCACACUGUGAGAUUUGUAAACUCUUAUAAUCCUAAUUGUUAUGCAAGUUAUGCAAGUUUUUGCUAAAUAUAAAAUAUAACAUGACAUAACAUGAUUAAGAAAAGCUGUAAUCUGUUACACUAUUUAGUUUUCUGUGAGGAAACCUCUGCAGCUGAUCUCCUGACCGACUUCUCCAGCCCAGGCCUUGCGAUGCAGUUAAUGGAAACCAGACCCUUCUCGUCCAUCUUCCACCACCGACACUUUGUAACACUCUCUGGAGGUGUGUGUGUGUGUAUGCACACACGUUCACACCCAUAUGUUCCAGCAGGGGAGCUGUGGUCAGGAGGGUCGACCUAUUUUCUGACUUUCUGCAGAGUCUGCAGGCUGCCGGCUUCUUUAGAGAAAGGGUAGACGGGGCCCUCGGCCAUAUGGGCAGCCCCAGCGUGACAGUGAGCUAUGAAGGUACUCACUGCACCACAUCUGCACAUGAAUCAGGGGUUACCCUGAAUCUGAAUGCAGCAGAAGUCAGUAGUGUUUGCUAAAGAAAGCCUCAAUAUAUUGAUCAUACUUUAGGGAUUUGUUCUAAACCACUAACUUUUAAAUGCUCUGCAUAACGGGUCCUGUACCAUUUAUGCUAUGGACUAUGACUUCUUACAGAGAUGUGUACUAUCAUUUCUCAGAGUUAUUGAACUAAUGAUUUCCACCUGCCAAACAAUAAAAUGGACACUAAAGGAGGGACCUGAAUCAUAUGUAGAGAACAUCAUGAUUUCAAAACACUACUCAAAAAACAACAAUCAUUUUUUCUUAGUUUCACUUUCAAUUUAUUUAUAUUUUUUUGAGUGAUACUUUUUCAGAUUCUCGUGUGUUGUAUUCUAUUAGUUGUUGCUUUUCAUAUAAUGUUUCUUGUGCUCUGUAUUUACACUACCAUUCAAAGGUUUGGGGCCGGUAAUACUUAUUUAAAUGUAUUGAAAGUCUCUUGUGCUCACCAAGGCUGCAUUUUUUAAAUCAAAAAUACAGUAAAACAGUUUGUAACAUUCAACCUGAGUUUGAGUUUUGUUUUCAUGGAUUUUAGGCCCUGUCCACACGAACAUGGGUAUUUUCAAAACUACAGACUUUUCUAUGUGGUUUGGCCAUUUGUCCACAUGCAAACGCAGUAUCAGGUCACUGAAACCAAACCUUUUUGAAAACUCCUGCCAGGGUAAAGAUUUUCAGAAACUCCAGUUGCAGUGUUGUCAUGUAGUCGGUCCUUUGUUUACAUGAGGCGAGUCUGUGCAAUGGCGGACGUAGCCAAAAUAUUGUUGCUAAUAAGCUUUUUUUCAGGCUUCUGAUUGGCCAACAUGGCU